rnacentral:lncRNA from 1 species
UUGAUAAAGAGAAAGCGCUGCUGGAGGAAAUUGAGAAGUGGUGUGCUGUGGAGGAGCAGGUUAUGAGACAGAAAUCCAAAGCUGUUUGGAUUGAAUGUGGUGAUGCAAACACCAAAUAUUUCCAUGCCCAAUGGAAAAUCAGAACAUCACAGAAUAACAUUACCUCAGUAUACACUGAUUCUGGAAUCAAGCUCACUGACCCUAACGAUGUGGAACAGGAAUGAUGGAAAAUCAGAAAAUCUCAGAAUAAAAUUACCUCAAUAUACACUGAUGCUGGAAUCAAACUCACUGACCCUAAAGAAGUGGAGCAGGAAUUUAUCAUUGUAUUCCAAUCACUGAUGGGAGACUGUGCAGAGGAACUGACUUGUGUGAACACUAAAAUCAUCAAAGAAGGCCCUUGCCUUUCUAGAACUCAGCAAGUAGUCCUGAUCCAGGAACUUACAAUGGAGGAACUCACAGACACUAUUAUGGAGAUGCCAAAAGAUAAAGCCCCUGGUUUGGAUGGCUUCCCAGUGGAAUUCUUCACUAAGAACUGGAAUGUAUUAAGAGAGGACAUAUUUGCUGCUGCUAAGGCGUUCUUCACCACUUGCACAAUGCCUCCAAUGAUCAACACUACUGCCAUUGCCCUUGUUCCUAAAGACAAG